rnacentral:rRNA from 1 species
CCUACGGGGGGCUGCAGUGGGGAAUAUUGGACAAUGGGGGGAACCCUGAUCCAGCCAUGCCGCGUGUGUGAAGAAGGCCCUCGGGUUGUAAAGCACUUUCAGUGAGGAAGAACGCCUGGUGGUUAAUACCCAUCAGGAAAGACAUCACUCACAGAAGAAGCACCGGCUAACUCCGUGCCAGCAGCCGCGGUAAUACGGAGGGUGCGAGCGUUAAUCGGAAUUACUGGGCGUAAAGCGCGCGUAGGUGGCUUGAUAAGCCGGUUGUGAAAGCCCCGGGCUCAACCUGGGAACGGCAUCCGGAACUGUCAAGCUAGGGUGCAGGAGAGGAAGGUAGAAUUCCCGGUGUAGCGGUGAAAUGCGUAGAGAUCGGGAGGAAUACCAGUGGCGAAGGCGGCCUUCUGGACUGACACUGCCACUGAGGUGCGAAAGCGUGGGUAGCAAACAGGAUUAGCUACCCUUGUAGGC